UGUAAAGAUCGUAAUUUUCUUUUCACAUUGAUAAUAAUGCAUUUAAAGUCCAUAUUAUUUUGAACAGAUUUAUAGAUAAUUUUUUGUAGUAUGUAAUGAGUCGCCAUCUAUAGAAUACAUACACAAAGAAAAAACUUGAUGAACUGGCAUUUGCUUAUUCAGUCAAUGAUGCGUAUUAUUUCAAAUAAAGAAAAAAUAGUGUAGUAUAGAAUUAUUUACUUUAUUUCGAAGCAUUAGCCAAUUCAUGCAGAAAAUAUUGUUUUAUUCAUUUAAAUUAUUUAAAGAUUAAUUCAAUCAUUUAAAUAAAUCAUUAUGAGUUCAGAAUUAAUACUAGACAUACGAUCGAAUUCAUAAAAUUUGACAACUAUCAAAUUACGCGACAUUAAUUUAAAAAAUAGAAUAGAAAAUUUAAUAUACAAGACUGCGGCAAAAGUUAAUUUAUCCAAGGAGUCAUUUGAAUUGCAGAAUUACAUCCAGUAUUUGUAGAAGAUGCACAAAAUUUAGCUGCUGCUGUACAUGAAGAAGCUUAUAACAAUGAUACUGCUGGUACUAAUUCCUCCACGUUGAAUACACCAUCUACUGCAUAGUCUUACAGUUUAGAUAAUUUGAGCGAUUUUAUUUGCAUUGAAAUAUACUACGAUAUAUUGAAUCUAAGUCUAAAUUAUAUAACGAAAGUACUAUCGGGUAAAUGGCUUCAUAUUUCAAUGCAUUUCCAAAAUCUUUUGGAUCUAAUUUUUAAUAAACAUUAAUGUACUUAUGUUUUACAUUAAUUAUAUUUCACACAUUUAUCAUACUUCAAUAAAUAAAUAAAUUAAAUAUAAUAGAAUUGUAAAAUAAUUUCUUAGAGAAACUCACUGAAAAAUUCUAUUUGUCAUAAUAAAUAGAAUAUAUAGCACUGUAAAUAGCUAUCUAUAUGAGUAAUCAAUUAGAAACAAAACAUAAAGUUUGAACAAUUAACAAACACUUCAAUUAAUUUAUUUUCAGAGAAGUAUAAUCUGGCAUAUGGUUUUUUCUUGCUUUUGUCAGAUUCAUUGCUAUUUUUGCUACAUGCAAGAAUGUUUGUGAUACACUAACUCGAUUGUUAAGUUACGCGUGAAAAGUCUAUUAUUUAUAUAGGCUUAUAUACCGACAGAACAAGCGCAUAAUGGGAAAACAAUGUUGCCCUAUUGCGCUUGUAGUUUGUUUUAUCCACUUGUGCAAAAUCAUAAAUUAGAAUGUAAAAUAUCAGAUCAUUAUUUUCAUAUAUUAGUAUGAAAUUUUUUAAUAGUUUUCUAUCAUACCUUAUCAUUCUGUAGGAAACCAGAACCAUAUGUGCGGUCCCAAUCAACAUAGACUGCAAGAUCUAAUUGAGAAACACUAGGACGUACAUUUUGUAGAGCUUCUUUAAAAUCAUCAAAUGUUACCGAUCUAAUUUCUUCAGUUUGUAUAUUUUCUAGUUGACUAAAUGGAAUACUUCUAAUAGGUCCCAUACUAGCUUCCUUACAUAAAUUAGUCAUAUCAGCACCUGAAUAACCUUCUGCUUGUCGAGCAAUAUCAAUAAUAUUUUGCUCUGUAAUAUUAUUUGGUACCGAUGUUAACAAAUUAUUUACAAUUUGUCUUCGUGCUUCCAACUCUGGUAAAGGAAUGUAGAGUCUUUUAACAAGACGACGACGUGCUGCUUCAUCUAAUUCUUGCGGUCUAUUUGUUGCACCUAUUAUUAAAAUGCGAUCAUCUUCAGAAGUUGCUGCACCAUCUAGUUGUACUAAAAAUUCGGUUUUAAGUCUUCUUGAACUUUCAUGCUCUGUCUCUGAUCUUUGACUAAGUAAAGAGUCUAUUUCAUCUAUGAAAAUAACUGAAGGUUGAUGUACUCUAGCUACAGCAAAUAAUGCUCUAACCAUUUUUUCUCCUUCACCUAUCCACUUUGAAGUUAAAGAGCUUGCUGAUAUAGAAAAAAAUGUUGAUUUACUUUGUACUGCAAUGCAUCUUCCAAUCAAUGUUUUACCCGUACCAGGUGGUCCAAAUAAUAAAAUUCCUUUUGGUGGUCUACGUAAGCCAGUAAAAAUAUCAGGUCUUAACAUAGGAAAUACAAUUACUUCUUUAAUAAUUUUUUUAGCAUAUUCAAGUCCUGCGAUAUCAUCCCAAGAAACUGUUGUUCGUAAAUCCAUAAUUUCAUUUUUAACUAGCUCUAUCAUUUUUGGAUCAAUAUUUUUCAACCUCUCAUCUUCUACUUCUGUCGAAUUACUUUCAUUUUCUGUUGUGUUACCUUGGCAAUGCAUUACUUUUUCUUUCUCACGUUUAAACGGACACACAAAUCGAGAAUUAAUAGAAGAUUUACCACCUAAUGUCUUCUUCUGUGCUGGCCUAUUCUUUAAACUUUGUUGAGCACUUAGUUCAUCUCUAGCAGUUUUAAAUGAAUAACCUGGAUUUCCUAAGUUCUGAAAUUCUUCUUUAUUAAACUAAAGAAAAAAAUUUCAUAAUUUUACUAAAUUUUUAUUAAUUGUAAACACACUAUAUUUUAGCACACAACAAAUUUAUAACUUACUUCUACACGACUGUUUUUGUCACCAUAAUGUCGUGCAGAUGAUGAAGCAACAUUUAUUUCAUUUUUCUGAAAAUUCUUAUUUAUAAGAGAAAUUUUAUCAUCAUUUGCCUGAAUUGUUUCAUACAUUGGCCGUGUUUGUACAUUACAUUUUCUCCUUCUUGUAUCCUGUGUCUUCCACAUAUCAACAAUAUCCUGGAUAUAACCAUCAUUAACAAUUCUUUCUUUGCAUGACGAAGUAUUCUCAUCUUGACAUGGCAAACAUUUUACGAAAUCAACUGCUGUUUUUACAUCGUUUAAUCCUGAUUUCCAUUGUAAUGGAUCAUUAUUACUUUCAGCAAUUUUCAUUUCAACUAAAUUCCAAUAAUUCCCGCUCUUUUCUAUCUGUUGUUGAUAUUCUUCUAGGCCUUUUUCGAGCAAACAUGUUGCUACAUCCUCAAAGCCCCUGUAAUUCGAUAAUAUUUCAACUAAUGUGACAAAUUAAAGAAUAAGAAAAUAAAGACUCUCGAAGAAAAUAAACUCACGAUCUUUUUGCUGUUAAAUAUUUCACAGCAAGACAACGUCGUUCAAUGUCCAGUAUUUUAUGUUGAUUUUGAUUAAGUUUUGAAAAUUUUAAUUCUUGAUAAGCUGCCAAAAAAUUAUUAUAUUCUUUGGCAAUGUCCUUUGUAUUACAAAAAGACAUGAUUUUGUAACGUUUUUUUUAAAUUGCUUCUUAUUUUUUAGUUUUUAUUUGUAAAUUAAAUUUAAGAUUUGGACGAACGACGAUAUCACGUGACCUUGAAUUCUAUUCGACUACUAUUGAGACUUCUAGCGGCGAAACAUACAAACUAAUUUUAUUUUUGUCAUAAAAUGUGAUUUUCAAGCAUUUUCGAAAACAAAAUUUAAAAAUUGCUUGUACAAUUUGAUUUUAAAAGAAUAAUAAUAAUAAUAUACAUAAUAAUAAUACACAACGAUUUAGAAAUGCAGAAACAGUAAGACGAUAACUAAAUUGAGUUAAUACGCCGUCCUGAAUUACCAUGCUUCAUCGCAUGCUGAAUACUACUUUCAUCUAAGUCAUCAUCAAAGAUUUCUCUACCAUCUUCUAUGUAUCCGCUUUCACCUAUUUUUAGAAUAUAACAAUGUAAUUUUUUCUAUAUACUUAUAUCAUAUAUUAUAAGAUUAAUUACCAUCAUCAACAAUCCAAUCAUCAUUUUGACGUUUUAUAACAGUUUUACUAUAUUCCUGUUCAUCGACCUCUUCAUAAACAUUUUCUAAUUCGUCAAUCUCAUACUUGUGCUUACUACCUUUUAAUUGUUUCAAUUUUUGUAACGCUAAAAUACAUGCACUUUUUCCAGAUUUUUGCCUUCUCGUUCUACCUGAAGGGGAUUCUAAUUACAAAAUAUAAAAUAAUAAAAACAUUAGUAUACAUUAUUAUUGCCAUUGUUUUAAAUUCAUUGUAGCCUUAACAAAGAUUUUACAUUUGAUCGAUAAAUAUAUCCAUAA